rnacentral:lncRNA from 1 species
AAUACAACAACCAUCCUAUUUAAAAGUGCUCCCUAUCCUGAAGCUUUGUUUUUAAACUCUACUUCAAUCAUUCACGAAAAUCAUUCAAAAAUUUUUUUAAAACUGUUUCCCACUCUGAAACUCCAUUUUGAAAACCGACUACCUCGAGGGGUAGAAACCACGAUGCGUAAUACAAGAAUCAAGAAUCCAUAAAACCAAAACCACAAAUCCACAAAUCUCUAAUCAUGUGCAUGUAUAACGAAAACAUCCACUAAAACCAAUUCACGAACAAUCAAACAAUCAUAGGGAUCAUCUAAUUGAACCAUUUAUUUAUUAAACUACUAAAUGCAGAAAUAAAAU